GACGAACGCUGGUGGCGUGCUUAACACAUGCAAGUCGAACGGGAUUUCGUAAACAGAAGCCUCGGUGGAAGAUUACUAAUGAGAGUGGCGAACGGGUGAGUAACGCGUGAGCAACCUGCCUAUGACAGUGGGAAAGCCUCGGGAAACCGGGAUUAAUACCGCAUAAAAUCGUAGAAACACAUGUUUUAACGGUCAAAGAUUUAUCGGUCAUAGAUGGGCUCGCGUCUGAUUAGCUAGUUGGUGAGAUAACAGCCCACCAAGGCGACGAUCAGUAGCCGGUCUGAGAGGAUGAACGGCCACAUUGGAACUGAGACACGGUCCAAACUCCUACGGGAGGCAGCAGUGGGGAAUAUUGCACAAUGGGGGAAACCCUGAUGCAGCGACGCCGCGUGAACGAAGAAGGUAUUCGUAUCGUAAAGUUCUGUCCUAUGGGAAGAUAAUGACAGUACCAUAGAAGAAAGCUCCGGCUAAAUACGUG
rnacentral:rRNA from 1 species